CCUACGGGUGGCAGCAGUAGGGAAUAUUGCUCAAUGGGGGAAACCCUGAAGCAGCAACGCCGCGUGGAGGAUGAAGGUUUUCGGAUUGUAAACUCCUUUUGUUAGAGAAGAUAAUGACGGUAUCUAACGAAUAAGCACCGGCUAACUCCGUGCCAGCAGCCGCGGUAAUACGGAGGGUGCAAGCGUUACUCGGAAUCACUGGGCGUAAGGAGCGCGUAGGCGGGAUAGCAAGUCAGAUGUGAAAUCCUAUGGCGUAACCAUAGAACUGCAUUGGAAACUGUUAUUCUAGAGUAGGGGAGGGGUAGGGGGAAGGCGUGGGGGAGGGGGAAAAUGCGGAGAGAUCAAGAGGAAUACUCAUUGCGAAGGCGACCUGCUAGAACAUAACUGACGCUGAUGCGCGAAAGCGUGGGGAGCAAACAGGAUUAGAUACCCCGGUAGUC
rnacentral:rRNA from 1 species